rnacentral:rRNA from 1 species
GAUGAACGCUGGCGGCGUGCUUAACACAUGCAAGUCGAACGGAAAGGCCCAAGCUUGCUUGGGUACUCGAGUGGCGAACGGGUGAGUAACACGUGGGUGAUCUGCCCUGCACUUCGGGAUAAGCCUGGGAAACUGGGUCUAAUACCGGAUAGGACGAUGGUUUGGAUGCCAUUGUGGAAAGUUUUUUCGGUGUGGGAUGAGCUCGCGGCCUAUCAGCUUGUUGGUGGGGUAAUGGCCUACCAAGGCGUCGACGGGUAGCCGGCCUGAGAGGGUGUACAGCCACAUUGGGACUGAGAUACGGCCCAGACUCCUACGGGAGGCAGCAGUGGGGAAUAUUGCACAAUGGGCGCAAGCCUGAUGCAGCGACGCCGCGUGGGGGAUGACGGCCUUCGGGUUGUAAACUCCUUUCGCUAGGGACGAAGCGUUUUUGUGACGGUACCUGGAGAAGAAGCACCGGCUAACUACGUG